CAGCAGAAAUGUGCCCCACAUCCCACCCACCGCCCAGGUGAGGGGUCUGCAGUUUGCCUGUGUGAAGUCUGGGUUUCACCCGCUGGCGGUGUGCAGGUUUUGCACUUGGCAGGUGUGGCUGACCUGUUCUGACCUGGAAGCCUCCAGAAUGACCUUUCCUGGGCCGUCUUCAGGGGGCAUACCCCUUCUCCUUUUUGGCUUGUCCUGUUUUUACAGUGAGGUCUCAGGAUGCUGUCAGGGAUCUUUCUGGAGGUUGUCCCUAACCCUGAAGCCCAUCACACUGAGGAGGGCAGCACAACCGUUUGCUCCCUACACUGACCUCUCCUCUCUCUCUCUCUCUCUCUUUAAAGGAAUUCUGCAACCUUCAAGUCGUUUGAAGACCGAGUUGGGACCAUAAAGUCUAAGGUUGUAGGCGGCAGAGAGAAUGGCAGUGACAACCUUGCCUCCCCGACCGGGAGUGGCGCCAAGCCCCUGCCUGAUCACACGCCUUUCUAAGCCCGUCGCAGCUUUGCCCGGCCGCGGAACAAGUACAAGCACACCCCCAUCGCCACGACUACGACUCCGCGGCGGAGCAGCCUGCCGGGCCGCGGGCAAGUGCGUAGAGCGGGCUUUGAGGAUCGUCGUGCCAUUCACAUGUAGACGUGGCCACGGCAUUCGCAUGAGCUCUACGGAACACGGUCUUGUACGCACAUGCUUCCCACUGAAGUCGGUAGAUGCAUACCACUGUGCGUCCGUCCUGGGCACAGGGAGCGGGCAGGACGGUGGGCCCUUUGGCAGUCUUGUUAGUUCAGGACAACGUGGAAGGGACGGGAGAGUGAUGAGCGUAAAAUAAGUGGUAUUGCCUCUGCCUCUCCUCUCGUAAGUGAUAGAAGGAGUCCGCGGAAGGAAGGUUCAUCCAGAAAGCCCUACCUGAUCUUCAGUUUUUAUUUCAAACGCUAAAUGAGAAAACUGUCCAUUUUCUGAAACCCUCCAGAAAAGAAACUGGUUAUCAGCAGCUGCCUAAUUGUUACACUAACAAUCUAGCUUUAACAAAGGCAAAUUUUUUAUUUUUUAAAUGCAGCGAAUUUUUCAAAAAUUAAAGCUAAGCAAAGCAGCUUUAGCCUCA